ACUGUGCCUCUUGUCUCCAUGGAGGCUUUGGAGAAAAGGUGUUAAUGGUUAAUUUAUUUCUUCAUUUAUUCAGUCAAUGAACAUUAUUGCAGUUCCUACUGCUGAGACUAAGGGCUGAAGUGAGGAUGGCCUCCCCUCUGCUUAAGUCAGGCAAACACUACUGCUGUUCUCUUCUAGGUAUUUGAUCCCUGGGUCGAGGACAUCCCCUGGAGAAGGAGCCUGUAAAACCCCUUGGACAGAGGAGCCUGGUGAGCUAGGUCCAUGGGGUCACAAAGAGUUGGACAUGACUGAGCACGCGCAUGCACAAUUAGCUACAUAGCCACUACUGCAAUUCAGUGGGAAACAAACGGUGCUGGAUCAACCGGAUAAACA
rnacentral:lncRNA from 1 species